rnacentral:rRNA from 1 species
UACGUAGGGGGCAAGCGUUGUCCGGAUUUAUUGGGCGUAAAGAGCGUGUAGGCGGCCAGACAGGUCAGCUGUGAAAACUCGAGGCUCAACCUCGAGACGUCGGUUGAAACCGUACGGCUAGAGUCCGGAAGAGGAGAGUGGAAUUCCCGGUGUAGCGGUGAAAUGCGCAGAUAUCGGGAAGAACACCCGUGGCGAAGGCGGCUCUCUGGGACGGUACUGACGCUGAGACGCGAAAGCGUGGGGAGCGAACAGG